UAAUACGUAGGGUGCGAGCGUUGCCCGGAUUUAUUGGGCGUAAAGGGCGCGCAGGCGGCUACGCACGUCCGUUGUGAAAUCGCUCGGCUCAACUGGGCGGGGUCAGCGGAUACGGCGUAGCUGGAGCAAGCUAGGGGGCAAUGGAAUUCCCGGUGUAGUGGUGGAAUGCGUAGAUAUCGGGAGGAACACCAGUGGCGAAGGCGGUUGCCUGGAGCUUUGCUGACGCUGAGGCGCGAAAGCGUGGGGAGCGAUCCGGAUUAGAUACCCGGGUAGUCCACGCCGUAAACGAUGCGGACUAGGUGUCGGGGGUAUCGACCCCCUCGGCGCCGCAGCUAACGCAUUAAGUCCGCCGCCUGGGGACUACGGCCGCAAGGCUA
rnacentral:rRNA from 1 species